GCAAGUCGAACGAGAAGCUACCUUCGGGUAGUGGACAGUGGCGCACGGGUGCGUAACGCGUGGGAAUAUGCCUUUAGGUGCGGGACAACAGUUGGAAACGACUGCUAAUACCGCAUAAUGUCUUUGGACCAAAGAUUUAUCGCCUAGAGAUUAGCCCGCGUUGGAUUAGCUUGUUGGUGAGGUAAAGGCUCACCAAGGCUACGAUCUUUAGCUGGUCUGAGAGGAUGAUC
rnacentral:rRNA from 1 species